CUAAUAAUUAGACUCUCUUUCAACGCGGUGGCGACUGCUCUUUCUUUCUUAGCCGCCUUACUUUAUCUCUGUAGAAGAAGCUAACAGGCGCCGCCUUGCGCUCUCUCUCUCUCUCUCUACACUGUGCUCCGAUUGUUUUAUCGGUAAGGUUUUUGAUUUUUGAGUUCUUCACUCGCUGUGCGGAGUAGUGGGGAAGAUUCUCAACUAUUUAUUUUUCUAGGGUUUUCUGUUCCUUUCGGCAAUUCUUUUGUUCGGGUUCUGGGGUUUGUUAUUGUUCUUUGUUCUUGUUUCUUGAGAAAUAUAAAAAAGAGAGAGAGAGUUAUUGAUUGGUCACACGUGUUUGGAUUUGGUGCUGUGUCAGAUCUGUGUUUUGAAUUCGGAUAGGAAGAAAUUGAUUUCUGUUGCGUGUAGUUUCGGGUAUCUUUUUUGUUUCAUAUAACUUUGUCAACUUUUGGGGGAUUGAUUGAGACUCGUGGAGUUGGGUUAGGGAUUUUCUGUUCGAAAAGGAAUUUAGGCGAGUCCUUUGUCUGGUUAGGGUUUGAUAUUGCAACCUUACGAAGUCGAAGGAUUACACAUUUAUGGCUGCUGGAAGACAUGGGGUUUAUAGAGAUAAUGAGUUUAGGGACCGUGAGACUGAUUUUGGGAUGACAAAGAAGGAGAAUGGGCAUGCGAAAAGGGACGACGGACAUGUUAGAAAUGGGGUUCCGGAUUACGAGAGGGGCCAGGGUCGCGAUAGUCUGGAAUAUAAGGGUAGGAUCAGACAGAAGGAUAUUAAAGAAAGAGAGGUGAUAAAUGGUGGAUAUCAUGCUACUACUAGCCGCAGUGAUUCUGGAAGUAGUGGUGGUGGGCCGAAGAGGUGUGAGCUUGCUGCACGUGCCAUAGAUCGAGAGCCCGGGGAGCUCUCCAGUGAUGGAUCUGACGAGGCUGUCGAUUCGGAAGCCCAGGUUAAUGAAGAUGCUGAGGUUAAAAAGAUGGAAAAUUUAAACCACUUAUCUCCGUUGCAGAAUAAAAAGCGGAAGUUCUCACCAAUUGUGUGGGAUAGAGACAAUAGGAACAUAAGUAGAUCAAUCAAAAGUAGCAGUGCUUCUGAUACUGUUACUUUACCUCCAUCACCACCAAUGAUCAAGUCUUAUCGCCAGUCACCUAUCCCAAAACCGAGUCCUGAUGGGAAUGUACAGACCUUACCCAAUGUCUCAAAUGAGGUUAAGUUAGAAGCAUCACCACCUAAAGUCAACUUAAGACCCAAUUUGUCAGAAUUCCCUGCUGAAACGUCCUCUCUGCAUCCUGAGGAAGAGCAAUCGGUUAAAAACACGGAACCAGGGACAAUUGAUGAUGAUGAUUAUGUACCUACACGAACCAUAAUAUCCUCUCGUUGGGCUAACGAUGCUGAGUCCCCAGCUGAUGAAGGUGAGAUUUCUGAUUAUGAAGAUAUCCCAAAAUUGCAUAGGAAGCCUGGUUUGGGGUUAGCCGAAGUAAGAGGCCAUAGUAAAUCAAUAAGUCCAGAAGUGGGGGAGGUCAAAAGGGAAGGGUCUGAUGGUGCUAGGGGGCAGUCCUCUGCGUCAGAUGAACGUGUAAGGUCCUCCAGUAGAGAUAGUUAUCAUGACAGUGAUGACCAUAAUGAGUACAUGGAGAUAGAUGAUGAUCGCAAUUAUGAUGGUGCUAGUGUUAGCAAGUCGGAAACAGAGUCCGAGGACGGUCAUGGCUCUCAUGGUACUCCAGAGCCAGCGCAACUCCCACAGAGGAGUGUUAAUAUGCUCCAAGGUUGCAGAAGUGUUGAUGAGUUUGAGAGACUCAACAAGAUUGAUGAAGGGACUUAUGGGGUUGUGUACAGAGCCAGGGAUAAGAAGACUGGGGAAAUUGUUGCUUUGAAGAAGGUCAAGAUGGAGAAAGAGAGAGAAGGGUUUCCUUUGACUUCGCUCCGAGAAAUAAACAUUCUUCUAUCUUUUGAUCAUCCCUCUAUUGUGGAUGUCAAAGAAGUAGUUGUGGGAAGCAAUCUUGACAGCAUCUUUAUGGUCAUGGAGUAUAUGGAACAUGAUCUUAAGGCAUUGAUGGAGACUAUGAAACAGCCGUUUAGUCAAAGUGAAGUGAAAUGUCUCAUGCUCCAGCUUUUAGCGGGUGUCAAAUAUCUACAUGACAAUUGGGUGCUUCACCGAGAUCUGAAAACUUCAAAUUUGCUUUUAAAUAACCGUGGUGAGUUGAAGAUCUGUGACUUUGGUCUGGCUCGUCAAUAUGGGAGCCCAUUGAAACCAUAUACUCAUUUGGUGGUCACUCUGUGGUACAGGGCACCCGAACUUCUUUUGGGAGCCAAACAAUAUUCUACCGCAAUUGAUAUGUGGUCCCUUGGAUGCAUUAUGGCUGAGCUAUUAUCAAAAGAGCCAUUGUUCAAUGGGAAGACAGAGUUUGAUCAGCUGGACAAGAUAUUUAGAAUCCUUGGUACUCCGAACGAGGCAAUUUGGCCUGGUUUUUCCAAACUCCCUGGAGUAAAGGUGAACUUCGUCAAGCAUCAGUACAAUCUAUUGCGUAGGAAAUUUCCAGCGACAUCAUUUACUGGUACACCUGUGCUUUCUGAUGCCGGAUUUGAUCUUUUGAACAAGCUUCUAACUUAUGACCCUGAAAAGCGGAUAACCGCUGAAGUGGCUCUUAACCAUGAAUGGUUCCGUGAAGUUCCACUCCCCAAGUCUAAGGAGUUUAUGCCUACUUUUCCUGCACACCAUGCACAAGACAGGCGUAUACGAAGAGUAAUGAAGAGUCCAGACCCAUUAGAAGAGCAAAGGAGGAAGGAGUUGCAGCAAGGGGAAUUAGGCACUGGUGGUCUUUUCGGCCAAUAGCAUCCAGAACUAUUUUCUUUGGAUUCUGUACUAUCUGAUACAUACAGAUCUAGGUGAGAGCUAAGGCCAGAAGGAAGUUGAAAAAAUUGCUUGUGGGAGUAUCAAAUCAUGUUUUUUUAUAGCAGGCACCUUUGAUGAAUUAGGUGGACAACAUUCCGUGCUCUAUUCUUGGGGUUGCCGACAGUAGGAAUGCAUCUCCAAUACUUCUUGCCCGAAAAGAGAUGGUGUGUAAACCGGAGGAGACAUUCUUACCCUUUCACUGCGAAGAAUUUUGCUGAGGUAUAGCACCCAGGAGGUUUAUCUUCGAGAACAAAGAGGCAGGGGGUACUGGUUGACUGAAUAUGACCAUCUGCUAUGCUCUUCUGAUUAACAGGCAGCUCUUUUGGAGUAGAACGAGCAGUUUUUCAUGCAAUGUGCAGGUGAUAAGUUUUGGUGCAUUAUGUGCCGACUAGUAUGAGGUAUGGUGACUGUAGGUAUAUGAUCGUGCUAGCGAGAGCUUGGGUUUGGAGAUUAGAGGAAAUUGCUUUGUGAGUAUCCUUGAUCUGAUUGUAUUGCCCUGGCUCGGUUGAGUUAUUCUUGAUGUUUGAAGAGGCAGUAAUUUAAUUGGGGAAAGAUGGACAAGAGUUGCUGGUUACCUGAAAGUGACAGGACACCUGACCUAUAUUGGUAUUUCUGACCCUGUUCUUGGUGAAUGAUGAUAUGCUUUAGAAAGGCAUUUGGCAGUAAAGCUCUAGAGAUUCGGGUGAUCUACUGUUCAGUUGCAGUGGAAGGAGGCUUGGUGUUCACCUUGCUCGAAGCUAAGUGGGUGCUGAGGAGGCGCUUCUGUUUAUCAAGCUUCUCUUUUCCAUCAUUUUCACAAUAUUCUAAUCAGUUUUCUGUCUCUGUUACACAUGCGCGUAGUAUUGUAUACAGCUGUUCGUUUUACACAUUUUUAAACUUUAGUUUAAAAUACAUGUAAUCUUUUGAUAAUUAACAGAGAUGAUUUACUCUACCAAA